UACGGGAGGGGGCAAGCGUUACUCGGAAUUAUUGGGCGUAAAGGGCUCGUAGGCGGUCUGUUGCGUCGGGAGUGAAAACUUACAGCUUAACUGUGAGCGUGCUUUCGAUACGGGCAGACUUGAGGCAUUCAGGGGAGAACGGAAUUCCUGGUGUAGCGGUGAAAUGCGCAGAUAUCAGGAGGAACACCGGUGGCGAAGGCGGGUCUCUGGGCCGAAAUUGACGCUGAGGAGCGAAAGCGUGGGGAGCAAACAGG
rnacentral:rRNA from 1 species